GAGAGAAGACUCAAGACUGAGGAGUCAAGAGAUACUUGUCUGAGUCAACGUUGACUUUUGUCCCCAUCUCUCUCUCAAUAAUUCUCCUAAAAUUCACUCCCCAAAAUCUAUCAAUUCAUUCCCCAAUCUCAUAAACCCUAUACCCCCCAACUUGAUGAACAUUCAUCUUUCUAUAUUUGGGACCAAAUUCCUUUCGGAUCUUCCUUGAUUCUCCGAAAAUUCGAAACCCUGCUUGAUCCAUUCCCAAUUUCAACCAACGAUUGAUUUUUCCCUCUCAUUAUUUUUGUGAUUGAUUCAAUUUCGCUCAAUAAAAUAGUUAAUUCGAAAGCUUUGAUUCGUAUGGAUUCAUCGAUUUUGACUCUAGUCGUCGCUCUUCUAUUCGCAUUCACCGCAGAAUCGCAACGAAUCCCCGACCGCCGCCCGCCUCCACCGCCGGCAUCACCACCACUGCCGCCGUCUCUUGUUUCGCCACCAUGGCCGCCGCCGUCGCCGUCGCCCCCUCACCUCCACCCGCCUACGAAACCCCCAGCGCAUAAAUUGAAUCGACAUUUGAGCCCACCGCCGCAAUUGAGGAAAACGAAUAAGGGGAAGAAAAUUGGGCUGAUGUUUGUCGGAGUUGCUUCAAUUCUGCAAGUUUGCAUUGUGGUGUUCUUACUGAUCAGCAGAAGGCAGCUCUUCAAGGCUCAAAAUGGCUAUCAGAGAAAUUGAACAGUUCAUUUCCCAAAUCCAAAUACUUGGUUUGUGGCUUGAAGCUGCAUUGAGGGAGCAAUGUUGCUGAGAAUGAAUGGCACUACCUCCGAUUUGCAGAACUUAUAAUUCGUCGUGUGAUCUAACGGCCCUCGUUGUACGUCGGAUACUCAGGUGCUGCAGCUGCCGUUGAUGAACGAAGUGACUUGCAUUCUAUGUAGAGCAACUUCAAAAGUGGUGAUCAAGAUUCAAGAUGAGUGCUGCAAGAGAAAAUGCUGUGUACGAAUUCAGUGAGGCGGGCUUCACGGCCCGGAUGGACCUGCAGGUUGUUUCCGGCCUUAGAGCGGGCCGGAAACUAUAUAUGUGUAUUCAAUUUCAUACAUGAAUGUGUGCAUAUUUUGACGUAGUACUGAGCGUAACUGAAAUAUUUAAAAAUAAUUAUAUAUGGAGUAUUAGAUAUUUUUAUAAUUUAGACAAUGUUUGUAAAAAAAAUUUCCUACAACAAAAUUAUCAUAACAUAUUCUAAUUUAACAUUGUUAUUUCA